GCUUGGCUCCUUGGGGUGACGAGCGGCGGACGGGUGAGUAAUGCCUGGGGAUCUGCCCGAUAGAGGGGGAUAACUACGGGAAACUGUAGCUAAUACCGCAUAAUGUCUACGGACCAAAGUGGGGGCUCUUCGGACCUCAUGCUAUCGGAUGAACCCAGGUGGGAUUAGCUAGUUGGUGAGGUAAUGGCUCACCAAGGCGACGAUCUCUAACUGGUUUGAGAGAAUGACCAGUCACACUGGAACUGAGACACGGUCCAGACUCCUACGGGAGGCAGCAGUGGGGAAUAUUGCACAAUGGGCGCAAGCCUGAUGCAGCCAUGCCGCGUGUGUGAAGAAGGCCUUCGGGUUGUAAAGCACUUUCAGCGGGGAGGAAGGGUCACUAGUUAAUACCUAGUGGCAUUGACGUUACUCGCAGAAGAAGCACCGGCUAACUCCGUGCCAGCAGCCGCGGUAAUACGGAGGGUGCAAGCGUUAAUCGGAAUUACUGGGCGUAAAGCGCACGCAGGCGGUUUGUUAAGUCAGAUGUGAAAUCCCCGAGCUCAACUUGGGAACUGCAUUUGAAACUGGCAAGCUAGAGUCUUGUAGAGGGGGGUAGAAUUCCAGGUGUAGCGGUGAAAUGCGUAGAGAUCUGGAGGAAUACCGGUGGCGAAGGCGGCCCCCUGGACAAAGACUGACGCUCAGGUGCGAAAGCGUGGGGGAGCAAACAGGAUUAKAUACCCUGGUAGUCCACGCUGUAAACGAUGUCAAUUUUGGAGGUUGUGCCCUUGAG
rnacentral:rRNA from 1 species